AGUCUGACGGAGCAACGCCGCGUGAGUGAUGAAGGCUUUCGGGUCGUAAAACUCUGUUGUUAGGGAAGAACAAGUGCUAGUUGAAUAAGCUGGCACCUUGACGGUACCUAACCAGAAAGCCACGGCUAACUACGUGCCAGCAGCCGCGGUAAUACGUAGGUGGCAAGCGUUAUCCGGAAUUAUUGGGCGUAAAGCGCGCGCAGGUGGUUUCUUAAGUCUGAUGUGAAAGCCCACGGCUCAACCGUGGAGGGUCAUUGGAAACUGGGAGACUUGAGUGCAGAAGAGGAAAGUGGAAUUCCAUGUGUAGCGGUGAAAUGCGUAGAGAUAUGGAGGAACACCAGUGGCGAAGGCGACUUUCUGGUCUGUAACUGACACUGAGGCGCGAAAGCGUGGGGAGCAAACAGGAUUAGAUACCCUGGUAGUCCACGCCGUAAACGAUGAGUGCUAAGUGUUAGAGGGUUUCCGCCCUUUAGUGCUGAAGUUAACGCAUUAAGCACUCCGCCUGGGGAGUACGGGCCGCAAGGCUGAAACUCAAAGGAAUUGACGGGGGCCCGCACAAGCGGUGGGAGCAUGUGGUCUAAUUCGAAGCAACGCGAAGAACCUUACCAGGUCUUGACAUCCUCUGAAAACCCUAGAGAUAGGGCUUCUCCUUCGGAGCAAGUGACAGGUGUGCAUGGUUGUCGUCAACUCGUGUCGUGAAAUGUUGGCUUAAGUCCCGCACGAGCGCAACCCUUGAUCUAAUUGCCAUCAUUUAAUUGGGCAUCUCUAAGGUGACUGCCGGGUGACAAUCCGGAGGAAAGGUGGGAUGACGUCAAAUCAUCCAUGCCCUAUGACCUGGGCUAACCACGGUGUCCUACAUGGACCGUACAAGAGCCUGCCAGAUCCGCGAGGGUGAGCUAAUCUC
rnacentral:rRNA from 1 species